rnacentral:rRNA from 1 species
AUGGAAUCGAGGGACAAGACUGCAGCAGCUGCUGGGCGCACGACGGGGAUGAAGCCAGCGACAUCAACAACUGACUUGGGUACGAUUCCUUUAACAUCCCGACUUGGGAACGAACUCCGCUGCACCUACAUCAAUCCUAGCCGGCUUCAAGAUGCCACGCGGACGCGAAGUGGAGGACCGCGACCCCAGAUGGCCAUGACGUCGUCCUUCGGCCCUGCUUCACUGGGGCGUGGUCUUUCAGUGUCGAGCAGCCUCAGGUGGGAGGCAUUGAGGGGCGCGUGGCUCUGGUGUUGCGCACCGGUGGCGGCAGCCAGCAUCGGCAGUAAGCUCAUGGUUUUCAUCCCCUCCCUGUCUUCCCCUUUGACUCUCUCAUACUCUGAACCGUCCGCCACAUGGACACCAACGCACAGGCAAAGCGCCGGCAAGGACAUCUCAUCAUCGAUGAUGCUGUCCAUCACCAGAGUCAACCGGGUUCGUCGGACGCAGGCUCGUGCAAAAGCUUCUAUACGGAUCACAACAACACUGAAUACAGGAAACUUGUUCUCAUAUCGGGUGAAAACUAGUUCCUUCUUCUCAAUAAAAAGCUUAGCAAACCUGAAUGUAAGCCAUCCCUCUUGUGCUCAACUCCUACAAAAAUUGUGGCAGUUACCUGUAGGUCACUUGCAGUUAGCUAGCAACAUGGCUCCCGAUAACCAGGCCAUCAGGGGCAUUCCACACAACCCAAACUGCUUGCUUUGCUCGACGAUGCCGAAAACGGCUGCUCACCUGCUGGCAGACUGCCCCUUCUCGGUAGAGGUUUGGAACUGCAUUAACAACAAGCUGGGACACCCGUUCUCCAUGCUACGGAUGGCGACAACGGUGACCACCAGUGGCCGAUCCCUCAAAGCAUCAUGGACAUGA